rnacentral:rRNA from 1 species
UACACUCCUGCGGGAGGCAGCAGUGGGGAAUAUUGGACAAUGGGCGCAAGCCUGAUCCAGCCAUGCCGCGUGAGUGAUGAAGGCCCUAGGGUUGUAAAGCUCUUUCACCGGUGAAGAUAAUGACGGUAACCGGAGAAGAAGCCCCGGCUAACUUCGUGCCAGCAGCCGCGGUAAUACGAAGGGGGCUAGCGUUGUUCGGAUUUACUGGGCGUAAAGCGCACGUAGGCGGACUAUUAAGUCAGGGGUGAAAUCCCGGGGCUCAACCCCGGAACUGCCUUUGAUACUGGUAGUCUUGAGUUCGAGAGAGGUGAGUGGAAUUCCGAGUGUAGAGGUGAAAUUCGUAGAUAUUCGGAGGAACACCAGUGGCGAAGGCGGCUCACUGGCUCGAUACUGACGCUGAGGUGCGAAAGCGUGGGGAGCAAACAGGAUUAGAUACCCGGGUAGUCCCAUGA